rnacentral:SRP_RNA from 1 species
UGCCGGGCUUGGCCGGGGCGGUCGGCGUGCCCUGUGACCCGAAAUCGUCGAUAUGCGGGGGCGACUGCUGGGGAAGGCGUAACCGGCCCGGCGCAGGCCCACAUCGCGAACAAUGAAACCUCGUCCCACGGGGUUGGAGGUGGCGGUUGAGCACUGCCGGAGGGCGGUGCCUCCGUCUUUGCCACGGGAACCGGGUCAGGCCCGGAAGGGAGCAGCCUUACCGUGGACUGCCAACGCUCGUGGGGUAAACGGGGUAGAGAACGCGUGUGGACAACCUGCGCCGUAAGCCGAGCGACGACUCCAGCGUGCCCGGCA